rnacentral:rRNA from 1 species
UUUGAACGUUCGAUCUCAAAUCAGGUAGGACUACCCGCUGAACUUAAGCAUAUCAAUAAGCGGAGGAAAAGAAACUAACAAGGAUUCCCCUACUAACUGCGAGUGAAGCGGGAAGAGCUCGAUUUAAAAUCUGGCGUGCCUCCGGUCGUCCGAAUUGUAGUCUCGAGAAGUGUUUUCCGUGCUGGACGUGACG